rnacentral:lncRNA from 1 species
UUCUUGAUCCUAUGUGUUGUAUUGAGUGUUGGUCACUGGUCUUUGGGAAGCUUGGACAGAAGUGGGGCAGCCAUGGAGCUGCUGACUGGGACUGGCCUGUGGCCCGUGGUCAUAGUCACAGUCAUCUUCAUAUUACUGGUGGACAUGUUGCACCGGUGCCAGCGCUGGACUUCUUGCUGCCCACCAGACCCUGUGCCAUGGCCUGUGCUGGGUAACCUGCUGCAGGUGGACCUGGAUAACAUGCCAUAUAACUUGUACAAGGUGAGUAAAGUAGGGAAGGAUGGUAACUGAUGUCAUAGUGUCCUUAGCAGCACAUAGUGGAGGUUAAGAAACAAGUCAUACAGGGAUCUGGGCCACCAAGAAGAGACAGACUUAUCAAUUUUUUGGUGGUAGCCACUGGGACCUUCUAGAGCAAAAGUUUUGGAGGUCCAGGAGGUAAAGCAGGAUGUGACAACAAAGUUCAGUCUAGUUGGGGAGGGCAGCAAGCAUAGAGGUGACAAGUCCCUUAUGAUCUUGUCAAAGCCGAGGUCUUGAUCUGCUGGGAGGUCGAAUGCACUGAACACUGAGUGGAGAGAGGAGAUGUGACUGCUGAAUCUCUUACCACUAUGUGUUCUCUGGAUGCAUUGCCCAUCUGGAGGAAACAGAUUUUCUUCAUGUGUGAUGAAAUGCUAAGGGUCCCCAGGACAAUUUUGUGGCUCUGGCAAUGUAACAACUGGGUGGUCACAUCUACUGUGAUUCCUUUGCUGAACUUAAAAGAUAAGACACCACAGUGGUAGGCAUCCUCAGGCUGGGGAUGGAGCUUAAGAAUGAACAUUUUUCUUGGAUAUAUGAGGAAGAAGGUUUACGCACACACAUCCAUGUGCAUGCACACAAACAUACACACACACACACACACACACACACACACACACACACACAAACGGGAACCCAUAUGUGCAUGUUCAACACCUUGCCCAUGUUUGCAUAGUGAGCCAGGUUCUAUGCUACGUGGGGACGACUACUUCCUAUGUGCUCUGUCCCUCUACUUCAGCUUCACAACCGCUAUGGUGACGUGUUCAGCCUGCAGAUGGGCUGGAACCACAUGGCCGUGAUCAACGGACUGAAGGUGAUACAGGAAGUGUUGGUGACCUGUGGAGAGGACACUGCUGACCGCCCUGAAAUGCCCAUCUUUCCACACCUAGGCUAUGGGCAAAAAGCUAAAGGCAAAGGCUGUGUGGGGGCAGAGAUGGCAUCAAAGCCAGACAAGGGGGGACAGUGAGCAAAGGAAGGUCAGAUCAUGAUGCAGGUGGUAAUGUAGUUAAGCAUUGCAGCAGAAAGUCACAGAAAUCCAUUGUGGAGCCUCCUGAGCAUGGUGGAGGGUGGUAGAGACAUGUACUGGAGGAAGGGUGAGGUAUGGAGGACACCGACAAAGAAGAGAAAUGAAGGUGGGAGGGGGCACCAAAGCCAGGUGUCCUUGGUUUUACACAGAUGUGUCUGCAGGUGUGGUCCUUGCUCCUUAUGGGCCUGAGUGGAAAGAGCAGAGGUGAUUCUCUGCGUCGACCCUGUGCAACUUCAGCCUGGGCAAGAAAUCACUGGAGCAGUGGGUGAUGGAAGAGGUUGGACACCUCUUUGAUGUCUUCACUGCCCAUGCUGAGGAGGCUGUAGACAAGAGAUUUGGAAAGAACACAUCUAGAAGUGUCCACCACAGUAAUAGGAGCCUGGAGAUUGACAUACAGCAAAAGGAAGUGAGAAGCUGACCAAGGUCAGGGCUUCUAGAAGCUGAGACCCUGGCCCUCUGCCCACAUGGAACAUCUGUGAGAUUUUCCAGGUUCUGAACACAUUCCCAAUUCUCCUACGCAUCCCAGGGUUGGCUGACAAAGUCUUCCCUGGGCAAAAGACAUUUCUCAUAAUGGUGGAUAAGCUGGUGACUGAGCACAAGAGGACCUGGAACUCGGACCAGCCGCCUCGAGACCUGACUGAUGCCUUUAUGGCUGAGAUGGAGAAGGCAAAGGGAAACCCUGAGAGUAGCUUCAAUGAUGCAAAUCUAUGUCUGGUUGUCCUUGACCUGCUGGGUGCUGCAACUGUGACCACCUCAACCACACUGUCCUGGGCCCUGCUGCUUAUGAUCCUGCAUCCGGAUGUGCAGUGCCAAGUACAACAGGAAAUCGAUGAGGUCAUUUGGUAUGUGUGGCUUCCAGAGAUGGCAGACCAGGUCUGCAUGCCCUUCACCAAUGCUGUCAUUCAUGAGGGCAUGACUCUCAUCUCCAACCUGUUCCGUGCUGAAGGAUGAGACUGUCUGGGAGAAGCCCCUUCGCUUCCAUCCUGAACACUUCCUGGAUGCCCAGGGCCACUUUGUGAAGCCUGAGGCCUUCAUGCCAUUCUCAGCAGGCCACAGAUCAUGCCUGGGGGAGCCCCUGGCCCUCAUGGAGCUCUUCCUCUUCUUCACCUGCCUCCUGCAGCGCUUUAGCUUCUCAAUGCCAGCUGGACAAUCCCUUCCCAGUGAUUAUGGCAUCUAUACAAUGCCAGUUACUCCAGCACCUACCAGCUCUGUGCAGUGGUUUGCUAGCAGGGGCAGUGGCUCCAGCCAUCAUCACAGAUUGUUCUGACUGAUGUCCAAUAAACAAGUUUUGUGUCUGAAUCUCA